UACGAGAGGUGCAAGCGUUGUUCGGAAUGACUGGGCGUAAAGCGCACGUAGGCGGAUUCGCAAGUAGGAUGAGAAAGCCCCAGGCUCAACCUGGGAAUGGCACCCUAAACUACGGAUCUUGAAUGCUUGAGAGGUUGGUGGAAUUCCUGGUGUAGGAGUGAAAUCCGUAGAUAUCAGGAGGAAUAUCGGAGGCGAAGGCGGGUCUCUGGGCCGAAACUGACGCUGAGGAGCGAAAGCGUGGGGAGCGAACAGG
rnacentral:rRNA from 1 species